rnacentral:rRNA from 1 species
UACGGAGGGUGCAAGCGUUAUCCGGAUUCACUGGGGUUAAAGGGUGCGUAGGCGGGCUUGUAAGUCAGUGGGGAAAGCCCGGAGCUUAACUCCGGAACUGCCAUUGAUACUGCAGGUCUUGAGUACACUUGAGGUGGGCGGAAUACAUCAUGUAGUGGUGAAAUACUUAGAUAUGAUGUAGAACACCGAUUGCGAAGGCAGCUCACUAAAUUGUAACUGACGCUGAGGCACGAAAGCGUGGGGAUCAAACAGG